rnacentral:lncRNA from 1 species
UUCAGAGAUUUACAUCUUGCUUCAAGUCAUGCAGCUCAUUCCCACAUAUGCCAAUUUACAAGCUUUUAUUAGAAGAAGACUUAAAACUAGGACACCUCUUUCCUUGUGGAUUUUCAAAAUCUUCCACCUAGUAAAUUACUUCAGCUUUAUGUUGAGCAAGUUUAGUUUUUAAAUACUUUGAUUGUAUUAGGGUAACAAAUAUUAUAAAUGAAUAUAUGUCCUCCAACAGUCCCAAACUAUUUGUGGAUAAUAGUUGACAAGACAUAUAUCACUUUAAUACAUGGUGCAACGGGUAAUGUAACGCCAAAAGUAUUGUAAACAAUGAUCCAAAUGCACUCCUAACCUUUUCUUGCAUUUCAGACAUCCGAUCGAGUUGCAUAUAAUUUAUCUGCCACAUAUGCCAAUUUACAAGCUUUUAUUAGAAGAAGACUUAAAACUAGGACACCUCUUUCCUUGUGGAUUUUCAAAAUCUUCCACCUAAUAAAUUACUUCAGCUUUAUGUUGAGCAAGUUUAGUUUUUAAAUACUUUGAUUGUAUUAGGGUAACAAAUAUUAUAAAUGAAUAUAUGUCCUCCAACAGUCCCAAACUAUUUGUGGAUAAUAGUUGACAAGACAUAUAUCACUUUAAUACAUGGUGCAACGGGUAAUGUAACGCCAAAAGUAUUGUAAACAAUGAUCCAAAUGCACUCCUAACCUUUUCUUGCAUUUUAGACAUCCGAUCGAGUUGCAUAUAAUUUAUCUGUCGACCAUAACUUGUUAAAUGAAUG